AAGUAGGGCGCAUCUCUGCGGGGCAGUGGGAGUUGCGGGGCUGCCUGGCUCCCCUCCUCCUCUAGGCGGGCCUCCCCACCCCAGGCUUCCUGAUUACAGGUGCCUGCCUCGUGCCCUGUGGUGCCUGUCUGCUGAUGUGCCCAGCCUGUGCCGGCCAUGCCGCACUCCAUCUCGGCCUUCCAGGCCGCCUACAUCGGAAUCGAGGUGCUCAUCGCUCUUGUCUCCGUGCCCGGGAAUGUGCUGGUGAUCUGGGCAGUGAAGGUGAACCAGGCGUUGCGGGAUGCCACCUUCUGCUUCAUCGUGUCUCUGGCGGUGGCUGAUGUGGCAGUGGGUGCCUUGGUUAUCCCACUGGCCAUCCUCAUCAACAUUGGGCCACAGACUUACUUCCACACCUGCCUCAUGGUGGCCUGUCCUGUCCUCAUCCUCACCCAGAGUUCCAUUCUGGCUCUGCUGGCAAUUGCUGUGGACCGUUACCUCCGUGUCAAGAUCCCUCUCCGGUGAGUUCACAGCAGUGAAAGGUACUGGCAGCAGCACCCCAUCUGCCUGGCUUGAGGGCCAUCUAGAGAGGAUGAAAGGUAGAACAUAAGAUCCCAAGCAAGGCAGGUAUUCUCUGGGUCAUUGCACCCCAGCUCUCACUCUGCCUUUCUGUGUUCUGUGCCGUGGUGUUAGGCUGAGCUGUGGUUGGAGAAGCACGAAGGGGUUGGAUGGCUGGAGAAUUGUUAACCUGGUAGUGCCCAGGAUCCCAGUAUGGAAGAUGCUGCAGCCAGGGAACCCAAGGCUGCCUGUCAGACUUGAAAUGGAGGUGGAGGAUUUGGAGGGUACACCAAGACAGGGCAGCAGUGAGUGCUGGGGGUGGGGGUACUAGUUGAAUUACACCAGUCCUGGGAAAAAAGAAGAGGAAAGCUCAAAGCUAAGGUGGGGGUGAGGAUGUGUGAGGGGGGCACACUAGGGCCAGCUGUGUUGCUGCUUCUCCAACCAGACCCAGGCUGUCUCCCUGAAGGCAUUCUUCAGCUUUCACAUUCUCCAGGUGUCUCUGUGCCAGCCGGCUCCACCCUCUGGGGCUGUCCUGCUGAACCCAGCAGUCUGAUUACCUCUGUCCAACUCCCACUAAUGGGAUCUCUAUUGCGGGCAGGAGGAGGGGAAAAUGCCAGCGCCUGCUCCUAAUGUUCCUCCUGUUCUGCUGCAAAACUCUCUCUCUCUCUCUCUCUCUCUCUCUCUCUCUCUCUCUGUUGGUUACAGCAGAGGCCCUUGUGCUGCUUCCAGGCUGCAGAGUGGGGAGCCUGAUGGUAGCAGUCCUCAGUGUGGGCGUCCAGUCUACAUUGGGUCUCCCUACCCAGGCCUGCCAGACCAUAAUCUCGUCACCAGGCAGUGCCUGGGCCACCAAGUGCCAGCAAGUGCCUGGGCACACUGCCAGGAACUGGCCUUGCUAGGGUACCCUUGUGUGCUUGCCCCCUCUUUACAUUCUUGUAACCAAUAGAUUCCUUUUCUAAUGGGAAACUCUGGCCAUCUCCGGCACCUGCUGUCCCCAGCGUAGCUUCCUAGACGCUCAUAUCUGGGACAUGGGGCCUCUGGUCUCACUUGGCAACUUGCCUGGGCAGGCUUGGGCACUCACCGUGCUCCCUCUGGUCACAUUGUACACGUUUAACUUUUCCAAGCCUCUUUUUUGUGCUACUUUUUUUUCCCCUGUUCUCACCAUGGUCCUAUAAGGGAGGUAGGGCAGGAGCUGGGAAAGGGGAAGCAGGCUGGGGACUUGAUCCAAUCAUCCUGCCCUCCUGCCCUUCUGCCUCCAUGCCCAGCACCAUGAUACCAAUCUCUCUGCCCUCUCUACCUCCCUCACCAUCACCAGUUUUCUCCAGGAAGGUGGGGUAAAGACUGCUGCUCAGGGGAGACAGGAAUGCAGCCCCAAGGCCCCAUGAGUUCAGUCUCUGAGGGGCCUGUCCAGAUGACGCUGGAAGUUAGAUGGGCUGACCCUUGCAGCCCGACUGUUAUAACUAAGUGUGGUGCAUUAGGAAAUGUUUGCAGAUGUAGAAAGGCCAUUCCUCAAUUCUGUCUGCUGCGUGGGUGCCAAGGCAGAUCAAAGGCCCUGUCCUGAUGUGACAGAUGUCACGGACUGUAGAAUGUGCCCUGCUUGCCCUGUGGGGCUGGGCCUGGGGAUGGCUGUGUUCUUUUAGGGGAUGGCUGCUAUUGCUUUAGAGCUUGGGGUCUUGCAGGGCUGUCUUCUGAGGGCUGAGACAUGGAUAUGCAUAGAAUCUAACACAGGUCUGGGCUUGAAUCCUUGCUAUAAAUGUCUGCCUCUGUGACCUUGAGAAAGUCACUAAUUUAACCUCUUUAAACUUUAAUUUCCUCAUCUACAAGAGGGGACAUUAAUAAUAGUACCUACUGCUACAUUAUGGGAAUAAUAUGAACUCAUACAUAUAAAUCACUCGAGACUGGGGAUGUAGCUUAGUGGUAGUAUGUUUGUCCAGCAGGCUCAAGGCCCAGGGUUUGAUCACAACACUGCAAAACAAAAGCAAAACCAAACAAGCAAACCCUUAGUACUAUGCCUGACAUAUUAUAUGCAAGCCAUAAAUGGAAGGUUUAUGUUAGUAGUUUUAUUAUUAUUAUGAAUAGGUGGCUCAAAGUGGGACUGGAUAGGAAAGCCCUGUCUCCCUACCCCAAAUUCUCGUACUCUUAUGCAGCAACACACACACACGCACACACACACACACACACACACUCUUCCAAGGAGGUGUGAAAGUACUGUUACCUUAUAUCUAUACCUCUUUCUUCUCCCCUGGUGAAUCACUGGUGUCUCUAGGGCAGUGACCCUGGCAGUGACAAUGUCUUGUCUACUUCUAUGAAUUGUCCAGAAUGUCCACCCAGCUCAGUGUCUAGCCCCUGGCAGACAUUUCAUAAAUGGUGGUUGAAUUGUCUGUUUCCAGAACACAUUCAGGUGAGCCUCAAGCAAGCCUCUCAGGUAUCUAACCUGUAGCUGUCUUGCUGUGGAUUAGGUCUGCCCCCCAUUCUAUCUCAGGGCCUGACCACAGCUGCCCCCCCAGCUCAGCGUGGCUCUUCCACUGCUGUUCACCAGCAGUGCCUGGGAGUGCCCUAUCCCAUGGAGAGCAAGCAGAGCUCCUGGCAGUGGUGUUGGCCUACUCUAGAUCUUUGCCUGACACUGCCCAGGUGUUGUGUAGAACAUACAGUGUGCUCUGUUCCCCUCUGGGCAGCUGGAGUCAGUAAGCUGCCAGGUCUGUGAGACCCCUCUCAACCAGAGAUCCCCAGGCAUCCUGCUCCCUGCCCUGACAUGUCAGUCAAAAGUAGAUGUGGCCUUGGGCACUAAGAAAUAAUCCUGCCAGGCACAGGUGGGCAUGUCUGGAUCAUCUGGGUACAGGAGUCGGUGGGUUCUUCCGGAGCAGGGCAUGGGUUGGUCAGUCAGCCACAAAUCUUAUUUUCUUCCACUUGGCAGAAAGCCAGGGGAGAAGAGAGAUUCACAUCAUGUGGUGUGAGCUCCAUUUACAAAUACAAAAAAAAAACAAAAACGUUUGAGUUGUUGAAUCAUCAAUAACCUGUGGUCAUUUGCAUGUGCUUUACAUGUUAUUUGUAUAGUGCCUCCAUAUGUUUGGUAAUCGAUACCUUAUUCCCCUCACUCCUACUUCUAGGGAAUCUUCAUCAUUCAUUAUUUUCUCACCAAGAGAUUUCUUGGUGGCAUUCUGUGGCAAUGUGGUGCCUACUCCAGGGACCUCCCUGACCAAAGCCCUCUCAGUGAGAAAGAGACCCUAGCAAAGGCUGCCCAUGACUAGAUGGGUUGGAGUAAAGUGAAGGGAUGGUGGCUGUUUGGACUCAGUCAGACUUGAGUUUGAACCUUGCUGUUACCAGUUAGAAGUGCAACCUUGGACAAAUUAUUCAACCUCUUUCCUGCCAUAUGUUAAAUGAAGGGAUUGGAUUCAAGGUCACUAAGCUCCUUUUGAUUCUUAACUUUGUGGGUUCUUCCUUAUCCUGAUUCUUGCCAGUGCUGCUUGGGAUCCUGGGAGGGCUUUUUAUUGUGUUUGCAGCUCCUAGUGAGGCAUAAUGCUGUCUUUAUAUGUUCUAUCUCAUUUGAUGUUCGUCAUCUCUCAGGAGUGGAGUUUAUUGUUAUCCCCAUUCAAUAGACAAUCCUGUAGAUGAACUGAGGUCUGAAGCUCUGGAGGUUCAGCGGUUUUCCCAGACAAACAGCAGAGGAGUAGAGGCAGGCUUGAACCCAGGCCUAUCUACAGAUGCCUUUAACCUUCAGCCUCAGUGAUCUUGCAUCAGCCCCAGAAGCUGAAGGAUUUAUAGAUGAGCUUCCCCCAAGCUGUCUGUGGGGUGAUUUUUUUUCCACUGACUUUUGCCAAUGGUCUCUGCACUCUGCUCAGCCCACAUUCAGCUCCUCCCCUCCUUCUCCACCUUCACUCCAGUGGGCAGUUGAACCCCUGGCAACCUUGCUUCUGUCCACAGCUGGAAGCCUUCCCAACUGGGAGGCAGGGAAUCAGGGAGUCUGGGCUUGCUGGGCUGAGUUUGGGCAAGGAAAGAAAUCUGGUAGAUGAGGGUGUGUUUGCUCUUAGGCACCAAUUUAGCCUGGGAUUUCUUGGCAACUAAAGUGCCUCAUAUGCCAUUGCACCCCAGCAGGUAUCUAUGGCCUCUGGGUCCCAGUUGCUCUGAGGUCUCCAUCUGCUUCCAGGAGAGAUAGACUGUCUCUAGAUCCUCUGUCUAAGGAUGUAUUAGUCAUAGGCCUAGAGUGUCUGAGAUGAAACAACGGCGGAGAAAGCCCUGGAGCCCAACCCCUUACACUUGCAGACUGACGAGGAAACCGCUCCCCAGGGAGAGUGGGAGCUCUUGCCUCCUCCCAAUCCAGACUCUUGUCCUCCUACUUGUGAUGUAAGAGGCUAGAGCAGGAAGAGAAAUCACAAGCUGCUGGAGGUACAGAAAGAAAAAUGAGUGAGAUCUGCAAAUCAGCCUUAGGCUUGGAGGGGGAAUGUGAUGGAGGGAAGUCACUUUGUGAUGAUGAUGAUGAUGAUGAUGAUGAUGAUGGCGGCACUGGGGACUGAACCCAUGGGAGUUUUACCACUGAGCUACACUCUCAGUCCUUUUUAUUUUUUAAUUUUGAGACAGGGUCUCCCUAAGUUGCCCAGGCUGGCAUUGAACUUACCAUCCUGCCUCAGUCUCUCAAGUAGCUGGGAUUAUAUUAUAGGCUUGUGCCACCACCAUUAACUGUUCACUUUGUGAUUUAAAAGGCCAUUUUUUUCUCUGAAUUGGGGUAUUCUUCGGGUGGGUUAUGCCUAGGAGCACAGGUGCUGUGGAAUCAUCUGGAUCCCUUCCCCCACGCAUCAGAUGGCUUAUGGAAAGUCUCUGAGAGCCUAAGGGGCAACCUGGCCAGGUGUCAGCUGCUUGGAAGCAGAGGAAUGGCCAAGAUGCUCUGGAAACCUCCUUCUACCCGUGGGUCAUAGGGGCUGCACCCUGACAUUUGAUGUUUGUUUCUGAGCAUCAAAGCAAUCCGUGUGGAUAAUGAGAAGUAUAGAAAGAACAGGGAUGAUAAAAUCACCAGCAAUCUGCCACCUACAGAGAACUACUGUUAACAUUUUGAUGUUCCAGAAAAUUUUCCACACACAUGAAUGUAGAUAUAGAUACAUUACUUUUACGUAUUGACAGAAUCUAUCUAAAAAUGGUUUUAUAAGCCAGGCAUGGUGGUACAUGCCUGUAAUCCCAGCAGCUUGGGAGGCUGAGGCAGUAGGACUAUGAGUUGAAAGCCAGCUUCAGCAACUUAGCAAGGCCCUAAACAACUCAGUGAGACCCUGUUUCAAAAAUAAAAACAUUAAAAAAUGGUUUUAUAUUCCUUUUUAUUCACUUACCAUUUCCUUGUGUCAAUUAAAAUUAUUUUUAAGGACUUUAUGAUGAUAUAACACUGGAUUGUAUGAUUACUUAUCUUUUAGAUCUCGUCUGAAAUAGCUCCUCUCUAGGGAAUCCUUCCCUCACCUCUCUCUGACCAGAUUCAUUUUCUGUUAGAUGCUGGGAUUGGGUUUAUUCCUUCCAUGGUUUACUCCUUCCAUGUUACUCACGGCCCAGGGAGUUUCUGGGCUUCAUAAGGCCCACAGAGCCAAGGCCAAGUCUGCUUACAUACCUAUGUAUCCCCCAUGCCUGGUGCAGAAACUACAAACAUUUCUGGAACAAAUGAAUAUUUUAAUAUUGUAUUUAUUCAUUCUUAAAUUGGUGGCUAUUUAGAUUGUGAUCAUUUAUUAUUAUUAUUAUUAUUAUUAUUAUUAUUAUUAUUAUUAUUACCAAAAACACUUUGAUGAUUCCCAUUGUUUGUGGGGUCAGAGUCAAGGUCAAGCACGGUGGUUUGUGCCUCCUGGUACACAGCACAGUCUCUCUGAGGAUGUUCUUCUGAGACUGUUUCCCAAUUCCUUUCACCCCAUCACCCCAAUUCCUUGCCCACACCCUCCACACUGCAAAUCCCUGAGGGGCACUUGAUGUUCUUCACCCCAGCUGCCCUUCGGAGCUGGGGAGGACAGGGCAGAGCAGGUCCAAGAUCUGGCCCUUAUUGCCUGCUCUCUGUUCCCCGAGGCCUUGGCCUCUUCUUGAGGAGAGCAGCCUCCAGACUGGAGGGUCAGUUCUUGGUUGGCCCCAUUUGGCAGGGGCACAGAUGUAUGGAGCAGAGACAAAGGAGGUUGAAGCACACACCACCUCUCCUUGGGCUGCAUGAAUCACUCCUUCAACCUUGGCCUUGUUAACUCAAGCCCAGGAGAGGUUGCCAGUUGAAAGGAUGGAGAGUGGGGGUGGAGAAGGGGAGAGGAAUAGGAGGCGGGAAGGUGGGCCUUGGCACUUGUGUCUUCUUAGAAACACUGAUUUGAAGGUGGGCAAGGAGAUNCCUAGGAGCACAGGUGCUGUGGAAUCAUCUGGAUCCCUUCCCCCACGCAUCAGAUGGCUUAUGGAAAGUCUCUGAGAGCCUAAGGGGCAACCUGGCCAGGUGUCAGCUGCUUGGAAGCAGAGGAAUGGCCAAGAUGCUCUGGAAACCUCCUUCUACCCGUGGGUCAUAGGGGCUGCACCCUGACAUUUGAUGUUUGUUUCUGAGCAUCAAAGCAAUCCGUGUGGAUAAUGAGAAGUAUAGAAAGAACAGGGAUGAUAAAAUCACCAGCAAUCUGCCACCUACAGAGAACUACUGUUAACAUUUUGAUGUUCCAGAAAAUUUUCCACACACAUGAAUGUAGAUAUAGAUACAUUACUUUUACGUAUUGACAGAAUCUAUCUAAAAAUGGUUUUAUAAGCCAGGCGUGGUGGUACAUGCCUGUAAUCCCAGCAGCUUGGGAGGCUGAGGCAGUAGGACUAUGAGUUGAAAGCCAGCUUCAGCAACUUAGCAAGGCCCUAAACAACUCAGUGAGACCCUGUUUCAAAAAUAAAAACAUUAAAAAAUGGUUUUAUAUUCCUUUUUAUUCACUUACCAUUUCCUUGUGUCAAUUAAAAUUAUUUUUAAGGACUUUAUGAUGAUAUAACACUGGAUUGUAUGAUUACUUAUCUUUUAGAUCUCGUCUGAAAUAGCUCCUCUCUAGGGAAUCCUUCCCUCACCUCUCUCUGACCAGAUUCAUUUUCUGUUAGAUGCUGGGAUUGGGUUUAUUCCUUCCAUGGUUUACUCCUUCCAUGUUACUCACGGCCCAGAGAGUUUCUGGGCUUCAUAAGGCCCACAGAGCCAAGGCCAAGUCUGCUUACAUACCUAUGUAUCCCCCAUGCCUGGUGCAGAAACUACAAACAUUUCUGGAACAAAUGAAUAUUUUAAUAUUGUAUUUAUUCAUUCUUAAAUUGGUGGCUAUUUAGAUUGUGAUCAUUUAUUAUUAUUAUUAUUAUUAUUAUUAUUAUUAUUAUUAUUAUUACCAAAAACACUUUGAUGAUUCCCAUUGUUUGUGGGGUCAGAGUCAAGGUCAAGCACGGUGGUUUGUGCCUCCUGGUACACAGCACAGUCUCUCUGAGGAUGUUCUUCUGAGACUGUUUCCCAAUUCCUUUCACCCCAUCACCCCAAUUCCUUGCCCACACCCUCCACACUGCAAAUCCCUGAGGGGCACUUGAUGUUCUUCACCCCAGCUGCCCUUCGGAGCUGGGGAGGACAGGGCAGAGCAGGUCCAAGAUCUGGCCCUUAUUGCCUGCUCUCUGUUCCCCGAGGCCUUGGCCUCUUCUUGAGGAGAGUAGCCUCCAGACUGGAGGGCCAGUUCUUGGUUGGCCCCAUUUGGCAGGGGCACAGAUGUAUGGAGCAGAGACAAAGGAGGUUGAAGCACACACCACCUCUCCUUGGGCUGCAUGAAUCACUCCUUCAACCUUGGCCUUGUUAACUCAAGCCCAGGAGAGGUUGCCAGUUGAAAGGAUGGAGAGUGGGGGUGGAGAAGGGGAGAGGAAUAGGAGGCGGGAAGGUGGGCCUUGGCACUUGUGUCUUCUUAGAAACACUGAUUUGAAGGUGGGCAAGGAGAUGGGCUUCCCUAACCCUGAAGGAGAAGAGGUGAGGCACCUUCUCUGUCUUGCCCCAUGCCCUGACAACUUUUCUAUAGUAGGAAAAGAGGUAUGGGGCUGGGGACUAGUGACACCCAUUUAUCUAUUUCAUGUGCCUGGCAUGGCCUGGUAAGGGAGAUUCACAGCCUGGUUUAGUCGCUACCUCUGUGAGCUCUUAGCCACUAUAGAGAUUAUGGAUGUCUGCAGACCAAGGUGGCCAAGGAGACUUCCUGGCCCGCCUGUGGUAGGAGUAGGGGACAUAGGAGACUGGUACCUGGCAGGUUGCAGUGCUGAACCCCAAUCCACAUUCACUAUCUGAAGCCCAAGUCACGAGGGAGAGGCUCUUGGGGACUGUCUUCCUGCUAUCUGCUUCCAGAAUUUCUCUGCCUUUUGGGAAAAGAGGGCAACUGAUCACCUUCGCUUAUCCCCACCCAAGACCUAUUGUAGACAGAUCUAUUUGUUCAUUCAUUUGAAAAGUAUUUUUUUGAGUACCACAUAUGUGCUGGGCACUGGUAUGGAUCCUUGGGAGUCAUUCCUUAACAAAACAGAUCCUCGUGGAGCCUGCAUUGUCACGGGCUGGGGGACAGAUGCCAAAUAAUAAACACAAUGCUCAAAUUAUGUAGAAUGCUAGAAGGUUGGGGUAUUGAAACAGGCAAGAAGAGCAGGGAAAAUGGGAUUGGGAGUGCAAGGCCAGGGGGGAGAAAGGGUUGCCACUUUAAAUAGGAUGGUCAGGGAGGCUCCAUGGAGAAGGUACCAUUUGAGCAAAACCUGGAAGGUGAGGGCAUAGGCCAUGCAGACAUCAGGAGAAUGUGCCUGGCGGGAGAGAUAGCUAGAACAAAGGCCCUAGGGUAGGAAUGUACUUGAAGUGUUCGGUGACCAGCAUGGAGUCCUGUGCCUCUGGAAUGGGGUGAUAAAAGAGGAGAGUGGCUGAAGAUAAUGAGCCAUUGGUUGGCCCACAUAUGACCUGGAGACCUCUGGAAGGACAUGGGCUUUUAUUACGAGGGAAAUGGGAGCCAUGGCAAGGCUUAGAGCAGAGAAGGGGCAGGGUCUGCCCUAGGUUUUAGAGGAUUGCUUCUGUGCUAAGAACAUGCUCAGGGCAGAGGUGCAAGCAGGAGACCAGCGAGGAGCCAUUACAGCCAUUACAGACAAUGGGGGCUUGAAUCUGAACCAUGGCAGAGGAGGUGGUAGUAAGUGGUUAAUUCUGGAUGUGCAUUUUUAAAUUUUACCUUUUUAUUGAAGUGAGAUUUUCAUGCAGUAAUGUAAAUGUACAUACAUCUUAAGUGUGUAGCUCAAUGAUUUUUUGUUAUAUGGAUAUACCUAUAUAGCCACCACUGGAUUAAUACUUACAAUAUAUUCUAUACCCGAAAGGGUCCCUUGUGCCCCUUUCAGUCAGCGCUCUCCAAAGGGUAGGCACUAUUCUGACAUUUAUUCCCAUAGAUCGAUUUUGCCUGUUAUGAACAUUUAUAAAUGGAAUUGAGCAGCAGGUACCCUUCUGUGUGUGGCUCCUGAAGCCCAAAUUUAGGGCUGAGACUCAUCCCUGUUAUGUGAAACAGCAGGCUUCUCCACCCCACUCCUGCUAGAAUUCAGCAUAUGAAUGCACUAUGAUUUGUUUAAAUGCUGGAUCUAUUUUGAAGAAAGAGCCAGAGACUUUGCUUCUGGCUUGGAUGUGGGAACAAACCUAUAGAUUGAAUAUGAGAAAGAAGAGUCAACGUGACCACUUUCAAUCCGAAGCAACUGGGAGGUUGGAGUUGGCAUCAUCCAAGAUGAGAAAGGCUGCAGAUGGUGCAGGUUUGGGAAGCAAGCAAAGGAGUUCAGACUUAGCUAUGUUGCACUUGGAGUCUCACAGAUCCCUUAGUGGUGUGUUGAGCAGACAGUGGGAUAUAGGAGGAGAGAAUUCAGGAGAGAGGCCUGGGCUGGGGGAUAUAAAUGUAAGAGCCACUAACAUGUACCUGGGGUUGAAAUUCACAAGGCUGGGUGAGAUCCCCAAAGAGACACAGUACAGAUGAAGAAGAGAACCAAGGACCAGGCAUUGAGAAGUUGGCAGGAAGAGGAUGCCCCAACACAUUGAAGACGAACCCCAGAUGUAGGAGGAAACCCCAGAGACAAGUGUGGUCCUGGAAGCCAAGUGCAGAAAGUACAUCAAAAUGGCGUGAGAACUCAGCUAUUUCCAAUGCCACCAACAGGGAAGUGAGAUGAGGACUCAGAGGUACCACUGAGGGAGGCCAGGCCAUGAGUGACUUAGAUAAGGGCAAUGUCAAUGUCAAUGCGUGUGAGGGCCACAAAGUCUGAUUGGAGAAGGUUCAGGAGAGAAGAGGAAUAGAUUGAAGGCCACUGGUUUAGAUGACUCUCUCAAGGAACUUCGUUGUAGAGAGCCAAGUAUCAGGGCAGUGGCAGUCAGGACCAGUGGGGAGCAAGCAUUUUGCUUUGUGUGUUUUUUUUUUUUUUUUAAAACAUAGAAGAGUGUUUCAUAUGUUUGUGUGCUGGCUGAAAUAUCCAGAGGACAGUGGAACACUAAUGAUGGAACAAUAGAGAAUUUCUAGAGUGACGUGUAACCUAGCAGGGUGGGGAGCUAAGGUGUACAUGGUGGGGUUGGCCUUGGAUGGACCCCAGAGGCUCUUCUGUGUGCAUAAGUCGAGGUGCGGAUGCUGGAGGUGAAGUUCUCUUCUGACUGUUGUGGCUUCCUCAGUGAAGAGGGAAGCAGGGUCAUCAGCUGAGAGGGAGGGUGCCGAAGGAGGUAUUGGGGGGAGGAGCAAGUGUGAAAUAAUUCUGUAGGAAGUGGGGAGUGACUAGUCUCGGGACAUCUACUCUAAUUGGGCGCAGCAUGAAGGGCCCACCUGAAGCUCACAGCGGUGAGUUGGAAGUGAGACUCAGCCACACGGCUGUGUGUUUAUCACCAGCCAUGUUCAACUAUGCAGGUGCAGGCGUGGAGAGGGCAGGGGGCUCGUCUAUCCUUUGUCGGUUCAGAAGUACCAGAUUCCUGCUGCCAUUAGGUAUCUUAUCAUGGUCUAGAAGUUGGCUUUGGUCCCUGCAUUCAUGGAACUUAAAGACUAGUUAAGAGACAGUAAAUAGACCUGUCAACAAGCAGGUAGGCACAAUUAUCAUUUGGGAAGAAUUUGAGGGAGGAAACCACCUUGGUAUUCUCUGUGUCAGUUCUUUGCUGGUGUCUCCAAAACCCUCUGUUGACAUCCGGAGGGACCCAUAAGGGCUCAGGGCUCAGGUAGGGCCUUGUAGGGCCAUGUGGUUCAUGGUCAAGAGUUUAGAUUUUAUUCUAAGUGUACUGAAGCCUCUGAGUGCUUUAAGCAGGGAAUGUCAUAAUUCAAAUUACAAAAAUUUUUCCGGUUUUAAGGAAUUGUUUUAUAAUCGUUUAAUUUAGUUCACUAUAUUUUUACUAUUAUAUAGUGGCGGUUUUACCGAGAAGGCACAUACGUUCUCACUGAAGUGUAAACUUUUUUUUAGUUAGUCCCAUUAAGUGGCGUAAGCGUACUCUUCUAGUCGGACGGGCACACACUCCUGACUGGCGUCGCCGAUCCUCUCCUGGUCUCCCUCCACCCAACCCUGACCCCGUCGGCCCCCCCCCCGUCACCGCUCACUGUCUCUACCUCUCCUGUCCGUUCCAAAGUAUGCACCAUCUCACUCUCGGUCGACCCUUACUUACGUGACCGACACGCCUCGUCCCUUCCUGAGUGUCCACUGAGAGACCAAUCACCCUGCCGGGGACCACCUCCUGCCACGGUAAAGACCUCUACCCCUUCCUUCUUCUUUAACUCUCUAAACCUUGGACACUCCAAGUGUUACCUCCACUCCACUGCCGUCCCAGUGACCGCCAGCAGAAGGAAGGAAGAGGACGCCCCAGCCCGUCUACCUGGGGAGGACGGAGUGUACCAGAGUUCCUGUCACAGGAAGUUUGGAGGUCGUUGGAAGGACCCGUGGAGGUCGACAAGGUAGACGAGAGGAGGGGGAGUGAAGAGUCCUCCGGUAACCGAAGGAAUCUGACCCCACCCUCCAGUCCUACACACUGAGACCCGAGGUGGUUUGUUUCCUCUGACGUCUCAACCCCCAGGACGGGAGACUCCCCGAGGUCAGUCGGACCCUCUGUCACCAAAGACCCUGUCGCUCCCGGGUGAGGGAUACCCAAGCCUCCACUCAUCCUCAGUAGCCCAGUCCUGGACAGUGUGCCUCAUUUCCUCCUGUCCCUGGAACCCACCUGAUGGCCUGCGUUGGGGGUUGUGUUGACCCCUGUACAGUGGUUGUCCCUCCCAGCAAUCAAGGUCCCCUCACAGCUGCCAUGGGACACUGAGUGGCCCAGUUUCUGCUAGUGUAGCAGAGAGGGUGGUCUGGCACUAAGCAGGCAGCUGGAAUACCAGCCCUAGUCCAUCCCAACGGCAUGGCAGGCAGCAUGGGGACCCCAAGCCUGGCCUGGGGACACGCUGUGUCCCUGUCACUCCAGCCUCCUUGUAAGCAGCCCUUUCACACAGAAACCACCUCCUUUGCCUUGUGGAGCAGAGAGCUUUGCAGUGCAGUUGGCAGCAGUGGCGUGGGCACCGCCUGCGCUCACCGCCUCCUGGCUUCCAGUUCUCAGCUCCCCGCCCCUGGCCAAGAGCGGCUUCCCAGCCCUUUCUCUGUCCCCAUGGAACCCAGGGCUCUGGCAGGCAGGACCAGUAGCUCCCCAGAGAUCCUCCUGGGGACAGGAGAGAGGAAGGUCUGUUUAAGAAAACUCCUGUACUCAGAUAUUUUUAAUGAUCUGCCUUCCAGAAAAAGCAUCUCCCUCCCCCUGUCUUACGAGGGUGUCUAAGUGACAUGAGGAGUAAGAGCAGUCUCUCCAGACAGACAGACCUGCAGCAAAAUCCUACUUCAGGCACUUAGAGCUGUGUUCUCUCGGAUAAGUUACUUAGCACUGUGUGCUUCCAUUUCCUCUUCCGUAAAAUAGGUUUCUUAAUACUUCCUUUCCUCGGCCUGCUGUGAAGCUUAGAGAUGAUGAUGUCCAGGGGCUAGUGCAUAGUAGGCGCUCAGUACAGGGGCCAUUACUAUUGUUAAAUAAUGCAAAGCUUAUUUUUUAUUUACCAUUUGAUGUUCUGUGACUCAACGUUAUGUGGCUGUUGUGAUCCCCCUGGGUUCAGGUCAGUGUCAAAACAAGGUUGCGUGCACUAGAAGGCUGGGUGGGGUCCGUCCCACUGUCCUGCUCACCAGGACCAGCGGUUAACACAUACCUGGCUGGCACUUAGUACGUAUCUUAAUUAAUGCAGGAAGGAGAAGAGGCUCAUCUGGAGGAGGGAGGUAGUAGAGGGGAAGAAUGGGGCCAGGUCGGAAAGUCAGUUGGGUCUUCACAUUUGCCCACACGGGGCAAGGGCAGGUGACGAAAGGCCACUCGGUGAACAUGUCCCUGUGAGUUAGAGGUUGGAGUACAGAAGGCGAAGGGCUCCCCAGGCUCACCCAGCCAGCUAGAGGGUGAGGAUCCUGGCCUCCUGGUCCCUAGCUCAGCUUCCCCGUCCCCUGUCAUCCCAUGAUGACUGCUUGUAUGAGGCAAAGGGUGGUGAGGGUCCUCUGCCCUCCCCGGUGCCCUCGUGCCCCCAGGAACUCAUCCUGGGCAGCUUCUAUGGGUGCGGACCUCUGAGGUUGCUGAAGCAAGCGCUCCCUUGGGGUCUGGCAGCUCUAACUUGUCUUGGGCAGGAAAUCAUUCAGUGUGUUUGGGGACUGGCUGGGCUCCACAGACACACCUGCCAAUGGUCCCCUAUAAACAACAGUGCCCCACCCCCGCAUUAGGGACUGUGAUACAGCAAGGCAGACAGGGUGCAGGGCACUGUCGGCCCCCAGGGCUGACCGUAGUCUGGGAGCGAGGGGUAUGCAGGUAUGAAGCCCCACCAUCACCCCGACCUCUGACUACUCCCAGGUGUGUGUUCACACAGGCUCACGUGAGCGUAUGUGAGAGUGCACACAUGCAUGUGCAGGGGGCUACUGCUGUUGGUUUUAUGUCAAAGAGUAACUCUAGGCUUCUAGGCCACCUGUUCAGUCUGUUCACCCACUUCUCUGCCCACCCAGUAACUUGCUCCCUCAUUUCCAGGGUCCCAACAAGAGUCCCUGCCAAGCCAAUUUGCUUGUGCCCACCCAGCGCUCACCCUCCUCCCUGACACAGAGACACAGUUUGCAUGUCCAAGUCCAUGAGUACUUCUGAUGACUCCGGUCCUGUCCUCAAGGGCCCAGGCCCUAAGUCUAAUAGAGGAGACUGACAGGUGCUAGCAGGAGGCACACAGGCCAGUCGGAUGCUCAGUCCCACGCCUCCUUCUACCUGUGAUCCAGGCUCACUUCCCUGUCCCCUGGCCAGCCACUUCUUAGCCUAUCCAGGCCUUGGAGUUGAGAAGAAUGAGAAAAGUCUAAUUCCUCCUCCUUCUUGAACAUGCGCCUCCUCUAGGAAGCCCUCCUGGUUUGUCUUGAAAUUCCCACUCCUCCCUGUGCUCCUCUUUAACACAGCUCUUCCUGCCAGGGACAGUGGUGCACGCCUGUAAUCCCAGCUACUCUUGAGAGGCUGAGGCAGGAGGAUUGCAAGUUUAAACUCAGCCUGGGCAAUUUAGCAAGAUCCUGUUCCAGCAUAAAAUAAAAGGGCUGGGGAUAUAGCUCAGGGGUAGAGCACACCUGGGUUCCAUCUCCAGUACCAGAAACAAAACAAAACGAACAAGAAAAAAAACAUGCCUCUCUCAAACUGAGCUGACCUGUGAGCCAUGUGAGCUAUUCAUCUCCGAAUCCAGUCCGUUGCUUAGUGCGUUUGGUAUUCAGUGAAUCCCUGAGUGAUAUAGGGUGGCUCUCAGCACCCAGGACUUGCUGGGCCUGUGCAGAACACUUGCAUGAAUGGUCUUGUUUCAGUCCUUGCACAAUUUUAUGAAGAGGCACUAGAAGUAUUUUAUAUGAAUAGUAUAACAUAUCCCCGUUUCCACACAUAAAUCUGAGGCCCAGGGAGGUUUAACAACUCGCUAACGGUAACGCUGCUGAGUGUGACCCGAAUUGGCGAAUGAAUAACUGCGUGAUUGAAUGAAAGAACCUGUAUUUGAGCCUUGACUUCAACACCUGCUGGGUGACCUUGGGUAAAUCACUUACCUCCUUGGGUCUUGGAUCUGUGUUUAUACAAUGGGCAUAAUUCCAAUCCCUGCCACUAAGAGUUGUCUGGGAACAGGAAGGAAGGGUGAAUGGCCUCCCUGUUCAGCACUGGCUCUGGGGGGGUGUGUGUUUGGGGGUGGGGUGGGGGGUAUGAAUCAGGCCUGCAGCCCAGGCACUGCCCAUGGGCUGGCCUGAUGGCCUGGCACUGAGGGGACAGCAGGAGCUGAUGUGGGCCACAGGACUGGGGACAUGUGAGUGGAGGAGAGACCUGAAAGACAGAGGAGCUGUUCUGGGAAGAUAGGAGGGGAGGGUCCGGAAGCAGAUGGCGCUGCCUGCUUGGCAGGGGAGUCGGUGUUUGAGGAGAAAGCUCUUCCCUCGCGUGCCACGCUGCUCACCACCUGCGGCAGCUGUGGAUGGCUCCCAGCUGCAGGGAGAGGAGCCAUCACGACCAGUGAGCAUGGGACCUACAGAAGGACAGUCCUGCCCUGGCGACCUGCACACAGGAGCAGGAGACUGCUGGGGUGGGGAGGCCGCCACUGUGGUGGCCAGGGCAGGCUGGCACUAUGCUGUCAAGGACCCUGCAGCUCCGGGACCUCCGUGUAGGGGCUGGGUGUGAGGAGGAAGUCCGCCCUGCAGGGAGGGGAACUUCCCUAGGCCCUGAGCGUCCUGUCGCCGUGUGGCUGGGUCUGCCCUCAGCCCACAGUCAAGACCCCAAGAAAAAGAGAAACCCCUGUGAGGAGAAUCACAGAUAGGGAGCCCCCACCCAAACUGGGGAGGGUCACUUCUCUCCUUGGUACAGGGAGACUUGUGGCUGGGAACCAGGAGGCCUGAAUCUGGUCCUGGACUGGCCACCUCGCCUUCUCUGGACCUGCAUCCUCAUCAGUAAACAGGACUCACUGUCUCUGGAUGACUUCUCUGGGUGGAUGCUGGCCAGAAUCUAAUGAUGGGGACACGCAGGGUCUGACAGAGGGAGGGAGGCGCAGUGCAUCUGGGGGCGGGGGCAACACAUGGGCUGUGGAUUCGGGCUGGCUGAGCUCGUCCCCUGAUCCUGGCUCUGCCAUUACUCGAUCAUUCUUUUGGAGCCUCAGUUUCCACAUCUGCCCAAUGGAACCGAUGACAUCUGCUUCAUAGGAUCAUGGAGAGAAAUGUGUGUGAGAACAGACGUGUCACCCAUCAUCUCCCUCCAGUACCAUGGAGCUCGUUCCUUCCUCUUCCUGCUGUUCAGUGGGAGGGAGGGGAUGGCUGGGUGGUGGUGUGCAGGUGUGUGUCUGUCUCUCUUGUGGUUGGGGUGGACAGUGUGGCUUUGGGAGUUCCUGAUCCAGCACGCCAAGCCUGCCAUUGGUAGGCUGGCCUUGGGGAAGUGACUUUGGUAGGGCCAGGAGGUGCAGAAAGCCCUAGGAAUAGAUGACAGUGUGGUCUGCCACUGUUCUGGGUACAAUGCCUGGGGCACCUGCCUCCGAAAUAUCAGGUGGACACCUCCCUUCCAGUAACUGCUCCCUUCAAGCAGGUUGCUGCUUCCAGCAAUUCUGGGGGCCCUGAGGCUGGCACCAGCGGGUCUCUAGGAAGGAAGCCUUAUGGUCUUGCGGAAGAGGGAGUCCUAGUGUGUUGAGUAGCUCCUUGAUGUCAGGUGCAGCGUUGGGUGACCUCUUUGGUAGCAUAUCUAAUUUUACUUAGUCCUGCAAGCCUGGUGCCAACACCCCAUUACAAAUAUAAUCAUAGAGAACCAGGGAUAUAAGGUAAUUUCAAAGUCAUUACCCAUUAGUAAGUAGCCAAACUGAGAUUUGAAUGUGUCCCUGCCACAUAACCAGGUGGAUGCUAUUUGUGCUAGGCCACUGUCCGCAGGGCUUUCCAGAUUGUGGAGAACCAGAGCCCCUGUCCUUAGGGAUCUUCUAGGCCAAAAGUAAAAUCAUACAAAAUCUUGCAGAUAGCAAGAGAAAUUGGUGCCCCUAAAGAAGGCUGAGAUUUCUGAGAAGUCUGGCCUGGCCUGCUGCCUGGUUUCUUUUAGGCCCUGCCUACUUUCUUUCUAGCCCUAGAGCCUGCGUGUGCUCAUUUACACAGCUGCCUCAGUCACAGGUGCAGGAAAAGCUAAAUCAGGAGGUGUUGCUAGCCUCACAGAAAUAAUCCCACGAGGCCCACGGGGCUGAGUGGUGGGGUGGGCUGAAGGGGCAGCCCAGCAGGGUCUUGGGAUGGUGCAGCGCAGGUCUCAGGGACACCAUGUCCACAGGAGGGAGACUGGGCUCAGUCUUAGCUCAAACACAACCAGACAAGCCAUAGCCUUGGGCCUCAAUUCUCCUGCCUGUGAAAUGGGGAGCACACAACCUGCCCUCCUCACCUUGCCAGCUGAUGGGGACUCCAGCAGGAGCAUGGUUUGGUAGUGCUUUGCCAGUGGUACUGAGAUAUGCACUCUAGAGCUGGGGGGCAGCCUCUUGGCCCUCUCUCUUCUGCUGCCCAGCUCCCAGACUCUCUCUCCCCAUGUGGGGAGGUGUGAGGGGUUGCCCUGAACAGGAGCUAUGCACACACCUUUAAGUCCUGAGUAAAGAGGUCCUGGACUGGUAUUGCACCCAUUGCAACGCAAGUGGACUUGACCUCCGCUCGGAUAGGAAAGGUGCAGCCUGGGAGUGGGCGGUACCCGAUGGCGUUGAAUUACACCCACCUGUUUCUCAUAAUCCUACCCUUUUGCCCUUUUAUGGAUAGAAUGUUCCAUGGAUUAGCUCCCCGGGGAAAUAAAAGCCGAGCCUCAGAACGCGCCCCCUCUCUCUCGCCAGCCUCUCGUUUUUCUCUUACCCCCCCUCAUCUUUGUGGGAGCUUGAGGCCAGGAGCCGGGAAAGCCAUCCUGAUGCCCAGAAAAAGGUAUCCCGUGUCUGCGUGGUCAUUUCGUGUGACCCCAAAUUCACCCGACUGACCCUGGUUCAGUAGCCCUCGAUGGAUGGGGGCUCCAGGGAGGUAUUUCUCCAUUGGGGCAGUAGGUCACAUGGAUGGAUGUGUGAUGGACGCUGCGGGACUCUGCUGUGUUCCUGUUUCCUGCACGAUCCGGGACAAUGCUGUUGUUUUUCUGGGCUUCCUCCUUCACCCUCCUCCCCAAACAAGGGUUGAGAGAGCUACUUUUGUGCAGAUAUUGGGCUGUGUGCCACUGGAUCUGGCUACUCUGUGUGUGUGGUCAAGGACGAGCAGCCUUGGCAUUUCCUAGGAGCUUGUUGGAAUUGCAGAAUCCCAGCCCCACCCCUUCCUAGGCUUGUUGACUCAUAAUCUGAAUUUUUAAAGGACCCAAGGUGAUUCAUAUGGACACUAGAGUUUGGGAAACUCAGGCCGUAAAGGACACUGGGGAAUGGACCCUCAGCUUCCUCACAGCCCCUUGGGAACAUCAAUGCAUGAACACAAAACACCUGCUUUAGGAUUCACUUGAACAGUUUCAAAUGCAGAGACUUGCUUGUUGCAGAAUGCAUUCAUAUAUCAAAGAUCAGUCGAUGGAUGCCGUGGCAUAAUCCCAGCAGUUUGGGAGGCUGAGGCAGGAGGAUCGCAAGUUCAAAGCCAGCCUCAGCAAAAAUGAGGUGCUAAGUAACUCAGUGAGACACUGACUCUAAAUAAAAUACAAAAUAGGGCUGGGCAUGGGGCUCAGUGGUUGAGCGCCCCCGAAUUCAAUUCAAUCCCUGGUUAUAUAUAUAUAUAUAUAUAUAUAUAUAUAUAUAUAUAUAUAUAUAUAUGUAUCUCCAUAUACAACCAUUGUCAAUAAAACUAAAAUAAAAUAAAGAUCAUGAGACAAGCUAAAAAUACAACAGGAGGUUGGCCUGGGCUGCAGUUGCUGGGCUCCAACUCCAGCCCCUAGGUGCCUGCGCUUGGGCAAGGCCCCAGGUACCUCUGUGCAGAGGAGAUGGAGACCUUCAUCUGAGGAUGGUGGUGAAGAGUGGAGGGGAGACAGUAUAAAAGCCACGGCCAGUGGUACCCGUGGAAUCACUGGGAGGUGGGUGGGGCCCAGAGCAGCUCUAUAGCUGAGGAAACUGAGAUUCUUAGAGGCGACGUGAUUUGCAGACACGUCAGUGUGAGUCAUGCCCAGGCCAUCUCUGCCAGUCAAAAGCCGGUGGCAGUAUUUUGUUGCCCUGAGCCGUGCCUCCCUGGCCCACCAGUGUGCCAUGUUGGAGACCGUGGGUGCCAGCCACAUAGGACGGGGACGGGUGGGAGAAGCGUGGAAGGUCAGGUCUUUGUGCGACUUGAAAGCUGGGGCCUUCCAAAUGGCCCAGAUUGUGAUGUUUGUAUCCGCUGGGGAGGGUAGCCUCGGCCUGUGUCCCCUGCUGCCACUGUUCACGUGUCCGCCCUCUCCCGUGGCUGUGGCGCGUGUCCUGCUUGAGUCCCCCAAGGCCCAUUACUGCUGGCUGUCCGCAUUUUCUUUUUCCAGCUCUGAGCACGACACUUUGAAGUUUUCGUGAAUGGUGGAUGGAAAAAAAAAGCUCUGAUUUAAUAAGCUUCCUCCUCCCCCACGCACAUCAUAAUGUGAGAUUCCCCCAUCCAGGGUCGCGGCAGGUGGGUGUGAUUUAUGGGGCUGUGCAGAAGUGGAAGAAGUGCCUGAAAAUGAAUUUAUUGAUCAGCCCUUAGAGAAAUUGCCCUGCCAGGCCCCUGCUCUGGGAUGCCGCCAGCAGCUACCACGCGGCUCCAUUCUCUCAGUUCAAAUGACAGGGUACCUCUGAGAAAGGAAAGAAGGAGGAGAAGGACUAGGAGGAGAAGGAAGAGGUGUCGGGUAGGCUGCUCCCUAUGGAACCACCCACCCUGGCAAUGAGGAGAGGGGCUGGUCCUGCAGCAGGAAGAAGUGUGGUUAGAUUCUUGCUAACUGCUUGAUAAAAUGGCUUGAGAUCCUGGGGCUGGGCAAAAGGGCAGGAUCUCAAAUGGAACUCUCUAGAAUUCUAUAGCAGGUGCCUCAUCUGUGAGGGCUGGGCUGGGGCUCCUCUACCUGAUGAGAGGGAUAUUGUUCAGAUGAAGGAGAAGCCUCAGACCGGCUUCCCCUUGCCCUCCCUCCUACCUUAUGCACAUGGAAAGGGAUUGUUGAUAUAGUUGGCUUAAUAUCCGCCAUGUUUGUAACUGAUUUUGAUUCAUGGUGCUUUUUCUUUGUUUUUUCUCCUCUUUUACUGCCUCUUUGAUCCUGAUUGAACAUUUUAUAUGAUUGUUUCGGGUGCUUACUGUGUGCCAGGCUCUGUGGGAGUGCUAAGAAGAUGACACUGAACUGGGCUUUGUCCUUGUCCUGAGGUAUUGGCAGUUGUACCCUCAGGGAGGGAAACAGCAUUUUUUCUCUGAUUGUCCGGUGUUGGGAGGAGGAAGGAGUCGGUCCCCACCACAGUCCAGGGCUCUACUGUGCCAUCUCCUGCUGCCGGCUGCCCUGGGAAGAGGGUCCUGAGCCUUGCCUGCAUCCACCUGGGUGAGCCUGGGUGUCUUCCCACCUGUUGCUGCAUCUGUGCAUCUGGGCCCCUCCACCCCUGGAGCUGAGGGCGGGGCUUGAGAAGAUGCAGUGGCUGGUGGGGCCCAAGGCCACAGCUGCAUGCUUCCAUGUGCUCGCCCUGGGUGGCUGCUGGCUGGGAAGAGCUGGUUUCUGGAUUGGGCCUAGCCUGGGCUUCAUGUAAAUGCCUGUCCCUUGUGGGGCUGGGUAAGUGUGCAUGGGACACAAGGUAGAGAAAGUAUCAGGAGGACUUCACAAGGACAAAACAAUCAGAAAUUGCUGGGGACCAGGGUUCAGGGGCUGUUGGUUUGUUUGCAGUGUUAGGGGUGGAACCCAGGGGUUUGCCCAUGCUAGGCAAGGGUUCUCCUACUGGGCUAUGCCCCCAGCCCCCAACUGCUAUUAUUUGAGUUCUGAACCCCACUGACCUGGCGGCAAGUUGGGGAGAACGGCCAGAAGCUGGGAGAAUAAGACUGCACUUUUUCUAUGUCCCAGGACUGGUCUCUCCUUGGGUUCAGAUGCAGCAGAAGGGACUGGAUUUAGAUUCUGGGAAGGACUUUCCAAUGUAGAAGUAUAAGGUCCGGAUUGGAGAUCCGAGGAUGGGUGUGGAUUCUUUCUUUGGAAUGAUUUCCAGGGUGGAGAGCUCUCUCUGUCCUUUCUGUCCUCCUCCCACAUCCUGCCAUCUGUCAAAUUUUUUCCGGAACAGAGGGCUAGAUGCUGUGAGCUUUAGGGAGCCUGACAGCCCAGGGCAGUGAGAACAGAGAAAGAAACAAGUCCUGUGAGAGCAGUUGCCUCCUCGCAGUAGAGCAGCCCUGCCUCCCAGGGCCUCCACCCCGGCUGGACUGACUGCUGGGAGUGGGUGGGUUACAGUCCCGUGGUGGGAAAGGGCCUCCAGAUGCUCAGGGGGGAGGUGGGGGAAGGACCUGGCUUCCCCUGAGUCUGCCCCCCACCUCCAUCCUCCAUCCUCCAUGCUGGCCACUGCACAAGAGAGAUUCCCAGAAGGUGCAGCUGCUUUGGGACGCCUUGGUGCGGGGCGGGGGUCCCAGUGCUGUGCUGAGUAAGUUCUCAAACCUCCACCCGCUGCCACCCUGGACUUCAGUAAGACAGAUCAGGGAACUGGCUGAAGCCAUAGCCAGCUGGGUGGAAGACCCGGCUGCAAAACAGAAACGAAAGUCCCGAGACUGGCCUUCCAAAGUGCAGCACAAGUCAUUUUUGUUUAUCUGUGUCCUGUAACCCGUUUGGUGUCUCUUUAAGAGCUGACGGUGUUUCCCAGAGAAUCAGAGGCGCCCUUCUGUUGUAAUAACCUGGGUCCCUGGCGCUAUUUGCUGAGCGCCUGGAUAAACUAACAAUGCCCCUCCCCCUCUUCUUUUCCCAGUGUGCCCUGGACAAAGCCCAGGCAGGGAGACUCAUUCCAUGACCAAGGCCACAGCUGCUAAUGGGGGGAGCCUUGGUGUGGACUUGAAGCUUCCUCCACAGCACACUUCAUUCAUCCUUUGUUCACUCAACAGAUGUCCAGUUCUCUUUUCUUUCCAUCUUGCUCCCCAUCUUCCUCAUGUGGGACACGACGCAUUCCAGAGAGCAGGGGAUCCCUGGAGGAGCGCCUGCCUCCUGGGGAGCAGCCCCAAGCUGCACAGUGGUGAGGGGAGCUUCUCUGUGAUCCUCCCUCUGCCUGUGCUGAGCUCAGCCCUCCCUGGAGGAGGGCCCACACAUCCCAGAAUAAGGACAGGUGACCUGCCAGAACCAGGAAAAUGUCCUGUCCGAUCCCUCAUCCUGCAGAUGGACAAAGCCCAGGCAGAUGACCCCAGAUGGGAAGGGUCUCGCCUAAGGCCAGCUCACUGCUGGCAGCACCUGGAUCAGAAAGUGUCUCCCACCUGGGCACGAUGGUGCACAUCUGUAACCCCAGCAGCUUGGGAGGCAGGAAGAUGGCAAGUUCAAAGCCAGCCUCAGCGCUUUAGCGAUGCCCCAAGCAACUUAGUGAGACCCUGUCUCAAAAUAAAACAUUAAAAAAAAGGGCUGGGGAUGUGGCUCAGUGGUUAAGUGGCCCUGGGUUCAAUCCCCAGUACCAAAAAAAAAAAAAAAAAAAAAAAAGAAUAUAGAAAGUAUCCUGACUCCUGCCACAUUGAGGUGUCCCACGGUAGGAUUGCCCUCAUUUGGAUGUCCUAACUUUGGCAGCAAUGGGCCCCCUCUGCUUUGUGAGCUGGGAGAAUUCUGCCUCUUUAGUUCCUUCCUGCCCUGGUCUCCCCAUGUGCCAUCUGGGCUCCAGGAUUCUUUGCUGCCUCUUGUAAGAGACUGUACUCAGCCAAAGCCAGAGAGGCCUCCGGGAAGCCAAAUGACCCGGCCCACUCCCUCCCCGACGGUGACAGGCCUUUCCACUGUGCUGGAAAAGGAAUUUUGCCCUUCUCACCAGCGUGGUCAUCCUAGAGAGACCUCGCUGCACCAGCUGCUCACAGGUCACUAAGUCCGUGUGCAGAUGAGAUGGUUUUUUCCGCCCACUAGAUGAGUCAGAAACGGGUCCCCAUGGCAGGUGAAACCAUUUGGCCUUGAUUCUUUCUGCUUCCCAGCCACAUCCUGAGAGCUGGAGGCCCGCAGUACUGAAGUCUGGGUCCAAUUCUUGAAUUUACUGUGCAGGUCAGACACCUCCUCUUCAAGGACCACCCCCACCAGGAGUGGGGAUGGUACUUGGCCUUGGGGAAGGAGGUGGUUGCAUCUCAGCAUCACCUAGGGUUCUCUCUUGACGGUGCCAUCCUGGAACAUUCUGGUAUGUUCUAGACCAGGGGAAAGGAAGGGGGUCAUAAGCUAUUAUACCUGGAAAAUGUGCCUUCCCCUUUGAGGUCCCUUUCCCUACACCCUGUCCCUGGUGGCCUCCUCUGAAUCAGAACCACUCAGCAAGCCCAAACCUGUUUUUGUGGGGUGGCAGGGCACACCUGGAGAGGAGAGGUGCUUCACCCCAAGGUUUUGCGGCAGAACUCAGGACUUGCUGUGUGAGCUUGGAGUCUGGGGUUUGCUGGUGGCUGCUGGAAACGUGUCACCUCAUAUGUCACUCGCAUGUCAGGCUGGGCCUCCCCCACAGAGUUCCUUUAGGGCUGGGGCUGUGUUUCUUCUUUGUACUCUCAGCACCCAGAGAGGGGCUCUGAAUGGGAAGGAGGGAGGACACAGGAGGUUCCUCAGAAAACAGGCCAUUUUGGCAUCAUGUACAUAAAUUUAAUUAUAUUUCCCACCAGGCUGUGGGGUUGUGUGCCCUCAGCAAGUGACCAGGAGCUCUUUCCAAGGCCCAUUACACUAAUGACCUAAUCAGUUUAUUCAGCUCUUUUCUUUCAAGUGGCUCAGAAUGCACCCCUCCUCUCAGUGGCCCUGUGGGCUUGCCCUGGCCAUGUUGGCCUGACCCCUCUUUGGGGGAUCAGUGGACACCGAUGUUCGAGAUGACGGGUGACGUCACAGGGUCAGGAGUGAGCAGGGUUCUUAGGCCCCAGAUAUCCUGCCCCCGGCCCUGGGCCCCUGAGCCAGACUCCCCUGGGCAACGUUACUAUUAAACAUUUGGCCCCUGGAGUGUGCCGAGCGCCUUUGAUUGUAUCUGGUUUCCUGUUCUCCUUUGGGAGGAAGAAUUUCUCUGCAGGAAGUAGUUUAAUAGUCUGAAAGCCUUACUUCCGUGGCCUUGAGAUCCAAGUUUCCAGUUUCAAGUGGCUAGAUCCUUGAUAAGAGAGCAGGAAGGAGGGGGCUAAUACUGCUCCCUCUCAGCCAAGGGCGAGGGAAGGGAAGAUGGAGGCUCUGGUCUCUGACUAUCCCGACUGCAGGAAGAUCAAGACCCUCUGCCCCGCCCAGGACCUGAGUGAGGAGCACAUGGUAGCAAACAGGGGCUAUCACCCCAGCCUGGUCUCAGCAGCCAAUGGGGCACAUUAACCUACUGUCUUCUUCACACACCCACUGUACCAUUUCUCUCCUCUGCAUCUAGGGGGUUGGUCAUCUUGCUCACAGCUCACCCACAGGUCUUUGGAACACCUGGGUCAAUUCUUCUGCUGUGACUUCAUUCCUGAACUUCCAGGGUCAAACAAGGAACACAGAAAUCAUUUUAGGUGUUCACAACUUUGAUACCAGGAACUGGCUGCAGGGGAUGGAGCAGCUGAGAUACCAGUUUGGGCAGGGAGGUUCCGUAGAGCCGGACCCCAACAGGAAUCUGCCCCUGGGCUGAAGGACCAAAGGAGGCGUGUUGUUCCUGGAGCCUGGAUCCAUGGUGGGACUGUCUGGUGGGAGGUCAAGUCAAUGAGAGGUCCCUCCCUGUUCCUCUAGUGCUUCAAUGUUUCCCACGGACUCAGCUGACCCAGGGGCUUGGAAGUGCACCUGCAGGGGUCAGCCCUUCCGUGAUAUAGUGCAGGGCAGAGCUAGGAAGGAAAGCCGAGGGCAGACAGCUUCAGGACCAGCGUGUUCCAGUCUUGUUCAAGUAGCGACACAGUGGCUCCACUCAUUAAGGCCUCCAUGCCCACCCUUUCCCAGGGUACCCCCCUCUUUUCCCAAUCAAAUACCUCUUCGCAGCCUGGGUCCUGUGGUACAUUCAUCAUCUGAUGUCCUGUGAGCUUUUCCUAUUCUAAGGAAGCUUAUUGCUCAUGUUCUCAGAGUCAGCCUAAAAAUCAGUCCCCAGUGGUGUCCAGGAAGAGCCCUCCUCUGAGGCUAUAGACAGGGAGAGGCCACCCCUCUGUGCACAGUUGGGCCUCCAAAUGGAAGUGAUCUUAUUCAUGAAAGGGGACUAUUCAUGAGGCAAAGGACCAAUGAGGAGCUGGGGCGGUCUCAUUGCUGCUGGGAUCUCGCAGGACACAGAGAUGUGGCUUCUCUAGGCUGCAGGCUGGAAGACUGGGGAGCCCCUCUGCUGGUCUCUCAAUAUGCUAGGGCUCACAGCUGCUGUAACAUGUUGGUGGCUGGCUGCUAGACUGGUGGCACUUGCAUACAUCUCUCAUCAGAGGUCCUCAUCACUGCAGCCAUAGGUCACAGGACCUAAGCAGGGGACCAGGAGUUAUUUGAUUCAGCAUGAGAUCCCCUGCAGCUCCCAGCUCAGUGGGGAAUGAGCAAGAGAACUAGCGUCCUCAUCCAGCACACUGUAAUUGCCUCUGGGGUCAAGACCAUGCCCAUCUAGCUGACCAUCUCCAAUUGAGCAGCUAUCAUUUAGUCCUUUUCUCUGACUCUCUGAGCUGUAUCACGUGGCAGAACCUCAGUCAAUCAUUUCUGAAUAAAGGGAUGUUUGCAUUCAUUAAUCCAUUUUUACAAGUAUUUAUUCGUUCAACAAAUAGCUACUGGGAUGCUGAGUUGAUUAUGCAAAAUAAAAGCUCUAUCCUAAUUGAGCUUUUACACUCUAGUGGAGAGAAACAGAUACAAAUGCAUCAAUACACAUAUAGCGAGCCAGAAAGUGAGAUCAUCUCUAUCAGGAAAAUUAAACAUGGCAUGAAGCCACGGGGUGAUGGGGAUCAGUUUUACAGGGUGGUUUGGGAACUCUGAGGAGGUGGCAUCUGUGCUGAGACCUAAAUGAAGGGAGAACUAGCCUCCCAGACACCCUAGGAGAUGUGCAGGAGGUGCCAAGGUCCUGAGCGGGGAGAGUGUCCCCUAUAUGCACACACAGGAGUGUCUGCGUGGACAGUGUGUGUUCCCUGGGAGAGGAAUGGGGUUCCACACAAGGGGACGAGGGCAGGGAGACUUGCUUAGUGGUCAGGAUAAAAACCCCAGACGACUUGGUUCUUUCCUCUCCUAGGCAUUCACACUCAAAGCAAGUCUUAUUUCUCCUGAUCCCAAAUAUGUUCCAAAGCCACACCCUUCUCCCUGCUGUCUGUUGUGCCCACUGGGGCUCCUGGCCCUCGUCUCCUGCCUGUGUGGCUAAAAUGGCCUGCGUUGGCUUUCUUCCUCUCAUUCCCUGCUACCACACAUUCUCCAUGUGGCACCUUGAGUUUUGUUUUUAAAGCAGAAAUUAGAUUAUAUCCCUCCUUUGCUGAAAACAGCUUUCUCCUGCACUCAGAACCUUUUCUGUGGCCCUCGGUGACCAUUUCUGCCCAGGUCUCUGGCUAAGACAGCCUCUCUCUUGCCCUUACCCCUGGGCCUUGUCCCCACCAGCCCUCUCUUCCUUCCUCAGCACCUUCACCUGGCGGGAACGUCUGGAAGGCUCUGCCCCGGCUCUCUGCCCGGCUGCUCACUGGUGAUCAUUUAGCUCUCGGCUCUUGUCUUCUCCUCAGCGAGGAGGGCUGGCUCUCCCAGCCCAAGUUGGCGGCACACUCUGCCUGUCACUCCUUCUCAGUGCCUUGCGGAGCCACUUGAUAGAUCUUCUCACUCUGGAAUGUUCUGGUGCGUCUGUUUGCAUGUCUAUUGUCUGUCUCUCUGCCUUCAGAAUGGUACUUUUAUUAGAACCUGUUCUCUUCUGUAUUCCCAAACCCUAGCGCCGAGUUCCUGGGCCUGAAAGGUGUUUAAGGAGUAUCAGUUUAAUGAUUGAAAGGGAGAGAGCCCAAACUGCCUGGUUGCCCCAGUGGGAAUAGAACAGGUGGCUGAACACCUGGGCAGGAAGUGUGCCUGAUGGCUUUGGGGAGGAGGAGGCUCCAGGGCAGGGUAUGGUGGCAUCCUCAGAACUACUUGGUCCGGGAGGUUCCCUGGAGCAGGCCGGGUUUGCCUUCCCACCCUCACCAUGGCUCCCUCCACAGUGUACACCUCCCUCAUCUUCCAUCUUCCAGAGAGGCAGAGCUGGCUGCCUGGACAUGGACACGCCUCAGUCUUAGAAAUCCCAUCUCUGCUUCUUCCCGACGGAGUAGCCUUGGACACACUUCCCCAUCCCUCUGAGUCUCAGCUGUUGUUCUGGGCUGUGCUGAAGAAUCUGUGAAAUCGUGUCUACAUGGUCCCCGCCCAGCAUAUGGAAGGCAGCAAGGAACGUUCUCUGUCAUCGGCAUGUUAUUGAUACCUACCAGCUGACUAUUGCCUUUCAGCACCCCCCAUCCCCAUCACUUAGCCUCAGAAUCUCCCUCCUCUCAUGGCAGCCUGGCCAGAGCUCAGGGAAGAAGCAGUGACCUACAGAUCUCAUCAUAGAGAGUUUCAACAGGAAGCUUCCUUCCACUUCCUUCCUCAGUGGUCCUUUUCCUACUUGGGGUCUUUGCAACCCUAUUGCUCCAGGGACCCAACUUUUCAUGUUACCCUCAGCAAUAAGAAGAUACUCACUAAUUUCCUAUGGUGUUAUCUUGCUUUUUUAAAAUAUGCCUGGAGAAGGCAAGUCUUACCCUAAAGGGACAUUUUGUAAUGGUGGGACUCUGCAUCUCGAGGAAGACGCCUGUAUCUUUCUGUCAUAGCUUUAAGGAGCUGUCUGCCCUGCUGGCCUGAGGAUUGGCCCACUUGGUGUUUUCCUGUCUCUAUGGUCUGAGAUUGAGCCCUCCUGGGGUGGCCCUCUCUCUGGUUGGUUCCUAGCACAGUACCUGGGAUGGGGAAGACUUGGGCCUCACUGGGAAGGGAUAUCCCCAAGUAUUGGAGUCACUUCCACACACCCCCCCACCUCAUGGAUGCUUCUGCUUCCCUUUCCCACAUGUAAGGAGAGGUGAGUGUCUCCCCCGAUCCUGGGAGGCAGCCCCCGUGAGAACCUGCCCCACUGAAGCCAAGGUCCUGGGCUCAGCCUUUCCCACCAAGGAGAAAAUAGCAAGAAAAACAGAUGAGAACUGAUACCCUGUGCACAGGGUCGGCUGGGACCUGGUUCUGGAGGAGCCCCAGGAAAGCUUUAACCCCGGGGGCUCUGAGCAGUCGGGGAGGGUGGGGGAUGGGGGUGCAGCUCUCCAGCCAGAAGUGGUCGCUUCCCUCCCCCAAUCUGGGACACUGUCCAGGUACUCCUCCCCUCUUUCCGUAGGUCAUCAUUGAGGUCACUGGGCCCACCCUCUGUCUCUCGGUGGUAUCUACCUUCAACAGGGUCCAGUGGUUCUCAUUUUAAACCUCUUAGGCAAGGAAUAUUCUGAAUCUGUCCAUCUUAUGGAUCAAAAUGACCCACAAUCAGCCUGGACCCUGGAGGAGAGCUGGGCUUGGAGUCAGGAGCCCCGAGUGAGUGGAGCUUUUAAUCUGUUCCACGGGAUCCAUUAUCUGCUGGGCUCGUGGCAGGCUGGUUCCUGGGCUCACCUGAGCCGUGACUGUUAAAGGGCUGCAUAAACAAUAAACGUGAUGUAAACCAUAGAUGUAAACGGGACAGCACCUCUGGCCUCACUCUUGCAAAGGCUCACCCUGGGGAUGUGGCCCUACACUCUACCGGGGGGGGACAGACAAGACAAUUUUUCCCACAGAAUGAUCCCUGUUCCUUUGAUCUUUGCUCAGAGACUCAUGCUUAGAACUUCUUUCACUGCCCCUGAGAGGACAUGCAGGGGACAGUGAGAUCAUCGGGAGCCAGGCCUGAGUAAGACGUUUUGCAGUCCUUAGGCUGGGCUUGCUGAGCAUCUAGAGACACUGGAGUUUUUCAUGUGCAUGUUUGUCUAGUAGCUUGGAGGGGUAAGAACUCAGGCUAAGGAUAUUGGCAAGAUGUUUACAGACAUUUGCACAUAGAGUAUCUCAUUCCAUCCCCUCCCUCUGAAGUAGGUCUCAUUGUACAAAGGAGGAAUUGAGGUAGCACACUGCAGACUUGGGUGGACUAGAAGCCCACACAUUUGGGACUUCUGAUCCAGCGUCUGCCUCAGGCCUGGCCAUUCUGCUGAGGAUUCAAGGAGGAGGGAAUGGGAUUCCCUUACUGCAAGAGAGUUAGGCACAAUUGAACUGAUCAGCCAAGACCCCUGAAUGGUUUGGGGACACAAGGAUCCUAGGAUCACAGAGGAGGGAAGGGGCAGUGCUGCAAAGCCAUUGGAGUCAUCUAGGGUCCUCAGUUUCUCCACUGGAAUGCUGCAGAGAUCAGAUGAGGUCCCAACAGUCCCUUUUAGUGUUUAUUUUCUAGAUGGGACAGGGAGGAGGCAUCUGGCUUCUCCUGCUCUCCUAAUGGUCCCCCUUCCCAUCCCCAUAGCCUGCACAGAGCAGGAGGGCUUUAGCACAUAGUAAGAGGUCUAGAAGAAUCAUUGCCCAGGGUGAGGGGGCAAUCGUCCUGAGAAGGCAAGAGCUGCAGAUUCCAUAGACACAGGACAGAAAGAAACAAUCAGAGGUCCCCCUCCUACCCCAGAUUUCAGGAGCUGUUUACGUGCUUAGGAGGGCACUCCAUCCCUCUCAGAUGCUGCACUGGAAAAUAACAACUGGGCAAGCUGCUGCUGCUCGGGCAGCCUCGGCACAGAGCUGGGCGGGCCCCAGCCCUUGGCACUUGUUCCAAGGCCAGUGUGUGGGCAGAUGAUACGAUGACUGGCUGCUGGUUGGGAUGGUUUAGAGGCAAGUGGGGAGCCCCCAAGAUAUUCAAACCCUACCCUCAGUAUUGGGUUGGGGACAGGCCAUCACGUCUGGACCAUGUCUCCACAUAUCAUCCUGAUGUUUUACAUGCUCUGUGUGUCACAAGGUGAGAAAGGUUGGAAAGCACUAUCCCUUGUCAUCAUCCUGUUCGUAUCCUUUAAGGCUCCUAUCAUGAUCUGUAGUGGUCCUGUUUAUUGGGUCAUUCCCUUAGAACUCCUAAAAGAGGUCCUUUGUUAUUUUUUUGAUCAUUAAUCAGAAUUCCCUCCUUCUGCAGGAGAAACAAGCCAGUGCCUUGCCAACUUUGCCCUGAAUUUUAGAUACUGAAGACUCGGCCCUUGGGCAAAAGAUCCAUCCUUUUCUACUUUCUCUGGACCCUCCUGUAGGAGCCCGCCCUGCCGCCCCCAAGGGGCUGGGUGAGUCUCAGAGGGAUCUUCAUGGCAGCUAGGAAGCAGUUCCUCAUACCCUUCCCUCUUCUCCCACAGGUACAAGACGGUGGUGACCCCACGGAGGGCAGCAGUGGCCAUUGCUGGCUGCUGGCUUCUCUCCCUGGUGGUUGGCCUGACACCCUUGUUCGGCUGGAACAACCUGCAGGAGGUGGAGCGGGCCUGGGUGGCCAACGGCAGUGUGGGGGAGCCCGUGAUCAAGUGCGAGUUUGAGAAGGUCAUUAGCAUGGAGUACAUGGUCUACUUCAACUUCUUCGUCUGGGUGCUGCCUCCGCUGCUCCUCAUGGUCCUCAUCUACCUGGAGGUCUUCUACCUGAUCCGCAAGCAACUCAGCAAGAAAGUGUCAGCCUCCUCCGGCGACCCGCAGAAGUACUAUGGGAAGGAGCUGAAGAUCGCCAAGUCGCUGGCCCUCAUCCUCUUUCUCUUUGCCCUCAGCUGGCUGCCCCUGCACAUCCUGAACUGCAUCACCCUCUUCUGCCCCAGCUGCCACAAGCCCAGCAUCCUCAUCUACGUCGCCAUCUUCCUUACUCACGGCAACUCAGCCAUGAACCCCAUCGUCUAUGCCUUCCGCAUCCAGAAGUUCCGGGUCACCUUCCUGAAGAUCUGGAACGACCAUUUCCGCUGCCAGUCGGAGCCCCCCACUGAUGAGGACCUCCCUGAAGACAAGGCUGAUGACUAGCUCUGCCUUCUGCUCCCACCAACCCAUACCCAAUGGGGUCCCACCAGCCCUCACCUCCCCGCUGUCCCACUGGUCUUCCUGAGCCCUUCCCCAGCUGGGCUGUGGGCUGUGGCAGUGGGGAGGGUCUGAAGAGAUGCCCACGGAGCAGGGGGCCCCUCCACAGGGAGUUAGCCGCCCUGCACCGAGGGGUCCUGGCGGAGAUUUGGGAGGGCAGCCCAAGGGAAGGAUCUUGUGCCCUGAGGCCAGAGAAAAGUGUCUUGAGCGCCCCCUGCCUGAUAGCCCAUGAGGCGUCUAGCUGAGCAGGUCCUAGGGGCCAACUGUGGAGGAGCCAUUGGGGGCUAGGAGAGGAAGCGCUGGCUCCUUCAGUGAAGCAGAGGAGUCUACUGGUGUAGAGGGUUGGUGGCAUGUCCUGGGACCAAGCUUGAGGAUAGGAGAGAAUCCCCUCUGAGAUGGAGAUAAGCAGAGAAGGGGCGGGGGGGGGGGGUGUCCUGGCCUGCUUUCUGUCCUGUACUGUAGGAGAAGGUGGCCAGGAGCAGGAAUCCAGGAGCCUUAAUCUCUGCCUCCUAGGACUCUGUGCCUGACAUGCUGGGCACCGGGUGCCUGUUCUCUUUGUCCUGGGAAACCCAGGAUUAUACUUGGAAGAGGCAGAAAGAGGGGUCCAGAAGUCAUUUCCCAGUUUGUGUAUUCCCCACUGGCCGUCCUUUUGGCCCCUCAAUGGGGCCUCUGAGCCCCGAGGGUGGUGUGGUAGGUGCCAGCCAUGGGCAGCCACCAGGUGGCAGCAUCGAGCCCUCUAGGGUCUUGCCCCAAGCUUCCAAGGAGCCUGGAUAUUGUAACUUCCCAUCAUGGGUGGCCAAGCUCCAACAGUCCUUAAUGAAGAUCUGGACCCUCCUAGGUGACACCAUCUCUGCUGCUUCUGGGCCCAAUAAAGAGAAGAACCCCAGAGACACCACUCUUAGGAGCGUUAUGCCUGCCUAGGGAGGAUGUGAGAAGCAUCUGGGGGGACCCAGGGCUGACUGUGGGCACUCCUGGGGUGGGGUGUGGCAGGCUGGAACAGGCCAGAGAGGGCCACUGUCCUGAGAGGCCUCCAGGGAGGGCCUUGCUGGCAUUGAAAUA
rnacentral:lncRNA from 1 species